rnacentral:rRNA from 1 species
UACGGAGGGUGCGAGCGUUGUCCGGAAUCACUGGGCGUAAAGGGCGCGUAGGUGGCGACCCAAGUCAACGGUGAAAGCUCGGCGCUUAACGCCGAGUCGGCCGUCGAUACUGGGUGGCUCGAGCACUGUAGAGGCAGAUGGAAUUCCGGGCGUAGCGGUGGAAUGCGUAGAGAUCCGGAAGAACACCGGUGGCGAAGGCGGUCUGCUGGGCAGUUGCUGACACUGAGGCGCGACAGCGUGGGGAGCAAACAGG